rnacentral:rRNA from 1 species
GUGCCAGCAGCCGCGGUAAUACGGAGGGUGCAAGCGUUAAUCGGAAUUACUGGGCGUAAAGCGUGCGUAGGCGGUUGUUUAAGUCAGAUGUGAAAGCCCUGGGCUUAACCUGGGAACUGCAUUUGAUACUGGGCAACUAGAGUUUAGUAGAGGGGAGUGGAAUUUCAGGUGUAGCGGUGAAAUGCGUAGAGAUCUGAAGGAACACCAGUGGCGAAGGCGGCUCCCUGGACUAAAACUGACGCUGAGGUACGAAAGCGUGGGUAGCAAACAGGAUUAGAAACCCCCGUAGUCC